UCCAGAAGGAACCUUUGCUCCUGAUUGUCCAAACGCAAUUCUUGUCCAGAAAACAUGCAAACCAAGAAUUGUGUCUGGACAUCUGUGGCCAAGUCU
rnacentral:pre_miRNA from 1 species